CUCUUAAUUCUUCCCUCACCUCUUUGAGGAUGAAGGUUGGACCUUCAGAACCUCUUGAAGAAAUGCCUUGGAUCUCUUUAAUCAAUUCUUCCCAGUGAUGCAGUUUCUAACACCUCAGAGUGAAGGGAGACCUAAGCUUUGCAGUGGGCCCCACACAUAUACAUACAAAACAAUUGUUCAUCUUUCCCCAUAAGUUCACCACAGUUGGGCAAGAGAAGAAAGGAACAAAUCAAGAGGACAGGAAGAUCAUCUUCACUUUCUCUUGGACUCAAAAGGAUAUCAGUGGGGCAUAUGAUUCCAAGUCCAAUGCUCUCUAUUAAACCACCUUGACUCCCAC
rnacentral:lncRNA from 1 species